UAAAAUUGGAAUGAUACAGAAGAUUAGCAUGGUCCCUGCACAAGGAUAACAUGCAAAUUCAUAAAGCAUUCCAUAUUUUU
rnacentral:snRNA from 1 species